ACUGGUGGCAUCUCAGAUGAUGGUGGGUUCUUUUUUAAAUCACAACUAUUUCAUCACAUUUUCUUGCAUCAUUUUAUCCCAAGUUCAGCCACUAAAAAAAACCCACCAUCAUCUGAGAUGCCACCAGUUUAGCAAAGGUCCUACUUUUCAACGACUUUAGAUACACUAAAUUUUAUGAAAAUUUUUCGCUUUGUUUUUUCUAAAUAUAAAAAUAUCAGAUAUAAUGAGAAAUUGUUCUGAAAAACAAAGCCAUGUUGUAGGUUGCCCAUUCAAAGUCUAAAAUUACUAUAGCCUCCUAGACCAGAAGAUCCAUAUCCACCAUAUGAUUGUCCUGACAAAGAAUACCGCUUGCUGUCCAUCUGAGAGUACACAGACCUCAGUCCAGUGUCAUAGUUGCUAUAGCUGCUGUUGACUAAUUCUCUGCGAUCGCUUAAAAAUUCCUGAAUCAGUUGUAGAGCCAUCUGAACCUGUGAUGACGUGCCUUUGAUCUCCACAAUUAUUUCAUCAGGCAGUCCCCUGCUUUCUUGCACAGUUAUUAUGGCUCCACUAGCGCGACGAAUAUAUGCAAUAUUGUUCCCUCCAAUCCCAAUGAUAUCCUCAGCAUAAGAAAUUGGUACUUGAAUAGUUUGUGUUAUCUGAGCAACUAUGGGAGCACUGGCACGAUUGAGUACAGAAGAACGUAUUGAUGAAACUGCAGGAUCUUGGCCAUAGAGUGAAAUUCUGGAAGGUGGGAUAUGUGACUCCAACGAAUUUUCUAGUUCAAAGAACAAAGUUUCCCUCUUCGCUGAAAGAGGAUAAUCAGUAUCACUUCCACCUUGAGAAGUAGCGUGCAGCAAUGACUUAUCACUCCAUGUCUGUGCUUGGCGGUCCUGUGAGAUUAUUGCAUUGUAAUUCUUUUCAAAAAGAGGAAGAACACUAUGAUCAACCAAAAACUUCCUCAAGUGACCCACUAUUGCUUGUAAAGCCUUAAGAACCUUCAAGGCUUCUCCCUGCAAAUCUACAAUCCUCUCAUCUGCAGCAACAUAAAAUGGCACUUCAUCUUCCGACAAUACCCGCACAGAUGCACCACUGCUCUCUUGUAUUGCCCUGAUUACCGAGCCCUGCUUUCCAAUCAAACUAAUAGCCUGUGUUGAUGCCACCAACAACCGAAAUGAACAAAAAGCAAUGCCCGCAGCUCCAGAUUCUUCAGCAUCACCCUCAGGUAAUCCAGUAACACGUUUAAAAAUUCUUAUCACAGCAUUCAUUGCAGGGGAUAGAGGUGCCUCCGGCUCUUCCUUUCCAGAUAUCAACACUACUUGGUCGGGAAUGCCAAUGGGCGCAUCAAGAACUCGAAUGCGAGCUCGAGUUUCAUCGCACAGCUUCUUGAUAAGGUCACCCUUACGGCCAAUAAUGCUGCCCACUUUAAGCACGGGCACUAUCAACCUGAACACACAAUCCCCAGGCCAUCCAGGCCACCUCACGCUCGUAUUGGCAGUGCCGGUGGAAGGUUGCAGUGUAGAAUAAAUAGAAUCGGCCUCAGAAUUUGUUUCUGCUGGUGGUGCUUCAAUGUUUUGUGUGUCGGAUUCUAACGGAUUUUCGGGAGCCGUUGGCUGUGGUCUCUGGUUUUGCGGUGGUGGCCAUGGCCAUUGAAGAGAUAAAGAGAGAGAGAGAGAGAGUGAAAUUUGGGUUAAGGUUUUAGUAAGG
rnacentral:misc_RNA from 1 species